GACGAACGCUGGCGGCGUGCCUAAUACAUGCAAGUUGAGCGCUGAAGGUUGGUACUUGUACCGACUGGAUGAGCAGCGAACGGGUGAGUAACGCGUGGGGAAUCUGCCUUUGAGCGGGGGACAACAUUUGGAAACGAAUGCUAAUACCGCAUAAAAACUUUAAACACAAGUUUUAAGUUUGAAAGAUGCAAUUGCAUCACUCAAAGAUGAUCCCGCGUUGUAUUAGCUAGUUGGUGAGGUAAAGGCUCACCAAGGCGAUGAUACAUAGCCGACCUGAGAGGGUGAUCGGCCACAUUGGGACUGAGACACGGCCCAAACUCCUACGGGAGGCAGCAGUAGGGAAUCUUCGGCAAUGGACGAAAGUCUGACCGAGCAACGCCGCGUGAGGGAAGAAGGGUUUCGGAUCGUAAAACUCUGUUGGUAGAGAAGAACGUUGGUGAGAGUGGAAAGCUCAUCAAGUGACGGUAACUACCCAGAAAGGGACGGCUAACUACGUG
rnacentral:rRNA from 1 species